rnacentral:lncRNA from 1 species
GUUAGGGUAAAAAUUUAAGAAAUGCUGCCAACGAAGACCAGCAUAGAAAGGUCAUCUGCUACUUGCCAGAGCAGACAGUGUUACUGUGUUUAUAAUGUGUUCUUACCUCAAUCCAUCUAGAGUAAGUAGGUAUGCCUGCUUCUCCUAUAAUCCUACCUCCAAUGACCUAGCUGUGGGGAAGAAGAGAGGAUUUCUGGUUUCUUCCUUGGAGAAUGCCUUAACCAUGAAUGGAGCAGAUGGCUGCAGUAUGCCACCCAGGGCCUCUCUUGCAAACGUAAAUGCGGCUGUUGCAGAGGUGGCGUGUUGGCUGCUCAGCAGCAAACCAGGUGUCUGCUCCUGAACAGAUCUCUACCAUGUUGCAG